AGAAAUUCAGUCUAGGGGUAUGAUUUUCGCUUCGCAUACUUUAAAUGUGCGUACUUGUGAAAGGUCGUGGGUUCAAUUCCCACAGCGUCCA